CCUGCAAGUCAGACAUAAAAGCUCAGCUCUAACCUACCUUUGACUCAUCAGAUCUCCUCAACUCAGCUUCUCAAAAUGAGGCUCCCUGCUCAGCUCCUGGGGCUGUUAUUCCUCUGGAUCCCUGGAACCAGUGGGGAUAUUGUGAUGACCCAGACUCCUCUCUCUGAGCCCGUCACCCCUGGACAGCCAGCCUCCAUCUCCUGCAGGUCCAGUCAGAGCCUCCUACACAGUAAUGGAAACACAUAUUUGCACUGGGUUGUGCACAAGCCAGGCCAGGCUCCACGGGGUCUAAUAUAUCUUGUAUCCAACCGCUACACUGGGGUCCCAGACAGGUUCAGUGGCAGUGGGUCACGGACAGAUUUCACACUGAGAAUCAGCAGGGUGGAGCCUGAGGAUGCUGGGGUGUAUUACUGCUGGCAAGGUAUACAAGCUCCGCUCACGUUCGGUGGCGGGACCAAGUUGGAGAUGAAACGGGACGUGGCUAGACCAAGUGUCUCCAUCUUCCCACCGUCUUCGGAGCAGUUGCAGUCCGGAGGGGCCACGGUCGUGUGCUUUGUGAAUGACUUCUACCCCAGAGACAUCAACGUGAAGUGGAAGGUGGACAACGCCUAUUACAACAGCAAUAUCCAGAACAGCUUCACGGAGCAGAACUCCAAGGACAGCACGUACAGCCUCAGCAGCACCCUGUCGCUGACCAGCUCAGAGUACAACAAUCACAAGAGCUAUACCUGCGAGGUCAGCCACAGCAGCCUGUCCUCGCCCAUCACCAAGACGGUCAAAAGGAACGAGUGCUAGAGUCAGAGGCCGCGCCCUCCCGCCGCAGGCCUGGGCCCUCUCCCCACGAGGGACCCACCCCAGUUGCAGUCCUCCUGCCCCUCCCCACCUCACCCCUCCUCCUCCUUGGCUUGAAUCAGCUGGUAAUGGGGGAACAACAAAUAAAAUCAAUCUUUGCACCUGA